rnacentral:rRNA from 1 species
CCUACGGGCGGCAGCAGUGAGGAAUAUUGGUCAAUGGGCGAGAGCCUGAACCAGCCAAGUCGCGUGAGGGAUGAAGGUUCUAUGGAUCGUAAACCUCUUUUAUAAGGGAAUAAAGUGUGGGACGUGUCCUAUUUUGUAUGUACCUUAUGAAUAAGGAUCGGCUAACUCCGUGCCAGCAGCCGCGGUAAUACGGAGGAUCCGAGCGUUAUCCGGAUUUAUUGGGUUUAAAGGGUGCGUAGGCGGCCUCUUAAGUCAGCGGUGAAAGUUCGUGGCUCAAACAUCGAAGUGCCGUUGAAACUGGGGGGCUUGAGUAUGCUUGAGGUAGGCGGAAUGCGUGGUGUAGCGGUGAAAUGCAUAGAUAUCACGCAGAACCCCGAUUGCGAAGGCAGCCUGCCAGGGCAUGACUGACGCUGAUGCACGAAAGCGUGGGGAUCGAACAGGAUUAGAUACCCGAGUAGUC